GACGAACGCUGGCGGCGUGCUUAACACAUGCAAGUCGAACGGAAAGGCCCUGCUUUUGUUGGUUGCUCGAUUGGCGAACGGGUGAGUAACACGUGAGUAACCUCUCCUUGACUUUGGGAUAACUUCACGAAACUGGGGCUAAUACCCGAUAUGAGCUCCUGCUGCAUGGUGUGGGUUGGAAAGUUUCGGCGGUUGUGGAUGGUCUCGAGGCUUAUCAGCUUGUUGGUGGGGUAGUGGCUUACCAAGGCUUUGACGGGUAGCCGGCCUGAGAGGCUGACCGGCCACAUUGGGACUGAGAUACGGCGCAGACUCCUACGGGAGGCAGCAGUGGGGAAUAUUGCAGAGUAGGGGGAAGCCUGAUGCAGCAACGCCGCGUGCGGGAUGACGGCCUUCGGGUUGUAAACCGCUUUGGCCUGUGAUGAAGCGUGAGUGACGGUAAUGGGUAAGGAAGCACCGGCUAACUACGUG
rnacentral:rRNA from 1 species